rnacentral:piRNA from 1 species
UGACCAAACAGAUAAAUGACAGUUGAUCA